CCCUUAGAUGUUCUGGGCUGCACGCGCGCUACACUGAUGCACUCAACGAGUUUCUGACCUUGUCCGAGAGGAUUGGGUAAUCUUUUUAAAAUGCAUCGUGAUGGGGAUAGAUUAUUGCAAUUAUUAAUCUUCAACGAGGAAUUCCUAGUAAGCGCGAGUCAUCAGCUCGUGCUGAUUACGUCCCUGCCCUUUGUACACACCGCCCGUCGCUCCUACCGAUUGAGUGCUCAGGUGAAUAAUUCGGACUGCAGCAAUGUUUGGAUCCCGAACGUUGCAGCGGAAAGUUUAGUGAACCUUAUCACUUAGAGGAAGGAGAAGUCGUAACA
rnacentral:rRNA from 1 species